GCAAAAUGCUAUUGAAUUACUUUAGAUAUUUUUGCAUUAUCAUUCUCUUUGUUUGUUAUACUUUCACGUCAUAACAGUGAUAAAAUUUGUUUCAGAGGAGAAACAGUGUUAAAUGUCCUUUAAAGUUAGCGGAAGACGUGGUUUGCUCGCAUUUUAUAUAGGUUACAUAGGGAAAUACUAUGGUUGAUAUCAAAUGAAAUUGGAAGCAAGAAAAAUUACACAAAUGGAAAGAUUAGAAAAUGAAUUUUAUGGUAGGAACAGUGAUACAUUUAAAUAUCAAAGCAGGAAAUAAGAAUGGUCAAAACAAAAUUUAAUCCUUCUUUAUUUCAAUGUAAAUGACAGGUCUGUUUGAUAUCAGAAAGUCUCUGCGGAUAGCUUGAUAAGACGCCUAAAUAGUAAAAAGUUGGGUAUGAGUUAGUUAUACACGGCGGAGCAAUAACAAACACCAGAUAUAACAGGUAAAUCACUUAGAUAUGUUUUAUUUAAUCAGAAAUAUUAGUUAUAUAAACGUAAGUAUGACAUAAAUUAACAAAUACAAUUUAUGGUAAACGAAAAACAAAUCAAUCGUUAUAAAUAACAGCAAUAAAAGCGCUGAAACAGUAAAUCUGAACUAGUAAAUAUAUGUAACACAUUUUGCGGACAAGUGACAACAAACCGAUGACAUUUUGUCAGAAAUAUAUCUUAAGGCCAGUUACAGUGUUCAAAUAACACAUACCUCAUUUUCAGGUUCAAUAUUUACAUAGCAAACUUAAUUCGUGGUUUCGGAUACAUUUGUGUAAUGCCAGGUUUUUUUUACAUGUUUUGACAACGAUCUAUUUAAGUAUCUUUUUCAUAGAACACUUUUAUAUAUAUAUAUAUUACAAAAUGGCAAAACGUGAAGGUUUCGGUAACCCGAAAAAUUUAAGCGAAAAACUGAAAAAAUAUAAGGCUGCUUUACACUAUCCGCAUUAUAUCAGAAAGCAUCUUUUAAAGGCAGAAACUGUAUUAAGUUCAAAGCCGUUUUCGGUUUUUUAUGGAACAGUAGAAUCAGUAGAAUCAUUGGUCCAUAACACAAUUGAAACCGGUUAUUCUAAAAAAAAUGAUAACCACAUACUAAUAAUAGAAAAAACGUUUCAGGAACCAAAAAAAAACAGACCUAAUUGGGACCAACAAUGACACUAAUAUUGUAAAAUAACCUCUCGCUCCUUCAUUAUAAAAUCGAGGGAGACAAUCUACAAAUAAUGUACAUUUAAAGCGUCUGAACCCCAAAUCCUUUGGCAAAUUGUUACUUUCAAUAAAAUCAAUGUUAAGUUAUAUAUCCUUUUUGUGUCAGAGCUAUUUAUAAAAAACUAAAAUAAAAUAAAAAAGAUAUUUUUACCCUUGACUUGAUUCGAACUAGGAAAAGUGCUGUAACAAAAUUUUGGCCUCACGUUUAAUGUACUGAACUGCAGAGUCAUGUACUUUUAUUAUCUGUCUAAUGAAGUUUAGAACAGAUAAACGCCAAAGCUUAUAAUUGUUUUAACCGAUUACUAUUUCCGAGCAAUCGUUUAUUUUUAUCAAAUUAACCCCAGUUUCAAAAGGACAUAAAGCAAUAUUUUCUUUGACUUUUGCUUCUCGUGAAAAAAUGGACAUCAAGAAAGAGCAUGUUAUAUACCAGUCUAGUUGAUGAAAUACGUUAAACUUUAAUAAUGCAUGUGUAAUUUCGUGUAAAAUAGUGCCUAUACAAUGCUUAACGCAAAAAUGAUUUCCUACAUAAAUAUAAAUAUCCGUCGGAAUCAUGUGUCCAUAAUUAUCUCUACGAAAUCUUGUUUUUCCAAAGCACGUAUCCGACUUAUUAUCCACUAGAUGAAUGUUUAAAUCUUUGAAAGGCAAUUUUCUAUUUCCAAUUAUCCAUUGUAAAUGUGAAAUCAUUUCUGUUGCUAGAUUUUUAACUUUAUGAGUUGAAAAAUCAAGUCGUUCUUAAAAUCCAUAUGGACUGUGUUUUAAUUUACAAAUAAACACUUCCACAUAGAUAUCUUCCGUUUUUCUUAAACGAAGUUUCUUUGGAAGAAUCGUUUUUGAAUUACCGCAAAUUAAUGUAAAAUUCACAUUUUUUAGUUUAUGUACACCAUGUCCACUAUUUACUAAAUACGUUAAUAUAUCAUGCAAUCGGAUAAAAAACAUUAUCGCAUUGCUAUAGCUAAAACGCAAAAUUUUUUCUACAAACAUUUUUCACUGUGACAACAUACAAUGUUCUAAUGAAGUGUGUAUAAUGUAAAGGCCUGUCAUUAUUACAAUGUUAACGUUAAAAAGGGAGGCAAUAGGUAUAAUUUACCAAAACGAUAAAGCACGAGUGAUUUCCCUUUUAAAUAACAAACAUUGAAAAUAAGUGUAUCAGUGCCUCUUUUUUGGUUUUUACCGGUUUAAACCAGAGAAAACUAGAAUCUUAUUUUGGCGUGUAUAUAAGAACGCAAAUACGUUAGUUAAGGUAUCCGAUCCAUAAAUAGCGCAUAUCACUUCGGCAGAUAUCGGACGAUGUCGGUAUUUUCCGGAAUUUUCAUUCAGGAACUUAGUUUUAUUUUAUUUUUUACAUUUUUGAAUAUCAUUUAAUAAAACCAUUAACAAAAAGACAAAUACAUAAAGAAUUUUUACCAAUAGUUCUCUAUUAUAAAAAAAUUACGGAGUUCUCGUCUACUCUCUUACAACGAGAUCCAAUGGCGGCGCCCAUGAAAAAACAUUGCGAAUGCCGAUUUAAAAGAAAUAAACAAUGAUAAACGUUUCACAUUAGAAUUAACAGUCUAUCGAGUGAUCAUAUGGUACGAUGGGCGCCAAAAAAUUAUCAUCUAUUGUGCUAACAAGACCUGCCGGCUCUGAAUAUGCUGUGAAUAGCCCAAAACAUCCGGGUUGACGUCAUUUCGACAUGUACAAUGAUCAGAUGAUAUAGAAAAAGUAGGCAUCGAAAACAACGAUUGUCCACAAAACGCUUGAUUUAGCAAUGGUCUGUGUUGAUGCUAUUUUCUCUGAAAGCAAACUGUCUGUAAUCUGCAGCCAUUCAGCUACUGUUCCAGAAAUUUGAAGGCGUAAAAAGUGAGCUGCCAUUACCACAGUACCUCAGAUAUGUAGGAACCAUGACAUUCGGGCAUUUCUGUUCUGUUGAAAUAAUACUUGAGCUGGAACCAUGACAUGAAAGAAGACCUUAGGAAAUAUAUGCAAGUGGAGAUUGAGACAUUAAAUUUGAAAAACGAAAAGACUUAUGAAGCAAAUAGCAAGUUCUGAAUGCUUCAAACUAACUGUUAGUAGACUUUGGAUAAUUUACUGCAAACGUAGUGCAAAAAAGACUCAGAUACAAAUGUAUCAUAACAAUGCUUACACGCCAAACUUCCAGGGCAUCUAUACAGGAGAAUUCAGUUCAAAGUCCAGGAGAUUUCAGAAUUUACAUUGUACCUAGUUUAAUAGUAUAAUUAAAAAGAUAGUUCUGAAUUCUUUUUGGUAAAUCUGAUUCAUUUUUAAAUCUACAAGGUAUUGUCAUCAUUUUUUGAUCUUUGUCAGCUUUGGUCUUGGUUAACAUUUUGGCUUAUGUUCUUCUUUUCUUCGAAAUUAUAAGAAAUACAGCUUUGAAACUUAGUUCACCUGUUUAUCAUUAGAUAGCCAAGAGUCAUAAUUCCCACUUCUGUCACUUUUUGGCAGAAUUAUGACCCCUUGUGUACCUAGAAAAUUGGAAUUUCUUGAACAUAACUCUGUCAACUAUUUUGGCUGAAUUAUGCCCUUUUUUGGAC
rnacentral:lncRNA from 1 species